GGGAAAUUGGCGGGACGAUGAGGAAUACGAAAAGGGUGCUAUCAUCAGCGGAUUCAGCGCGAAGGUCAGCAGGAAGUCGUGUUCUAAGUUGCACUAUAUUGGUAACGACUAGCAGGCACCCAUGCAUCUGAACAUGCAUGAUGGUGCAAAAGCAUGGAUAGAUAGUUCAGCAUAAAUAAAGAUGGCACAGCUCACGAGAAGAAAAUCAUCAUACAAGAGGACAGGAAAUCACUAUCUGGAACCCAGAGGCAGCGGGAUCGCCGAAAAGCAAAAGGGCGGAAGGAAAAAAGUGAGAAGAAAUGAUAAAAUUCAACGCCAAGCAAAUGGAAGCGACCGCCUAAUCGGAUACCAACCCCAUGAAGAGGCGGAUGCUUGCGCCCUUCAGCAACCAGGAAUUUAUCGCUUACAUUCGGCGACUAAAACUCGGUAGAGUCAUUGGAAACGGAAGAAUGGCCUAGGCAGAUGAACACUUUGUAAUUCAGUUGCCCCUUUUUUACAAAUAAUUACAGUUCGAGUACGCGCUUCUGUUGAUAGGAGACCCGGCAGAUUGAGAAAACGCAGUGAGCAGAAAAGAAAACUUUGAAAUUAUAAGUUUCGGGGUUAGUUUUGGUGGAUUCAAGGAAAAGAAAACUUUUCGAUUAUGAAUUUCUGGUUUAGCUUUGGUGAAUCCAAGGCAGAGGGGAGCGACCACUGACCAGGCGCCUGUGGGAUCGCUCCAAUUAAUGAUAAGUCGAGGUUGAAUAUGAACAUGAUUGAACAAACAAAGCGGGAGGAGUUGU